rnacentral:rRNA from 1 species
CCCCUAGAUGUUCUGGGCCGCACGCGCGCUACACUGAACAGUUCAACAAGUCUUAACCUUGGCCGAUAGGUCUGGGUAAUCUUUGAACGCUGUUCGUGAUUGGGAUAGACCUUUGCAAUUAUGGGUCUUCAACGAGGAAUUCCUAGUAAACGCAAGUCAUCAGCUUGCAUUGAUUACGUCCCUGCCCUUUGUACACACCGCCCGUCGCACCUACCGAUUGAAUGGUCCGGUGAAAUCUCGGGACGGCGGUUCGGUCGCUUGCGUCCGACUGCUGAAACUUGAUUAAACCAUAUCAUUUAGAGGAAGGUGAAGUCGUAACA